ACCUUCCUGUCAUCGACCCAGAAGCCGAAUUAUUCAAGAGUGGAACUAAUGACGUAGUGGUAGCUGGGUUCGUCCUCUUCUUCCCUAACUAUUCGACGUUCCUAGCGAAGCCAGGCUUGUACGUGGAGGAUCUGUUCGUGAGGGAGUGUUACAGAAGGAAAGGAAUGGGGAAGAUGCUGCUAUCGGCGGUGGCUGCUCAGGCGGUGAAAAUGGGAUAUGGGAGAGUGGAGUGGACGGUGCUGGAUUGGAAUGUAAAUGCUAUUAAGUUUUAUGAAGAGAUGGGUGCGAAGGUUUUGACAGAUUGGAGGAUUUGCAGGUUGACUGGUGAAGCUCUUGAGGCUUAUCGUGAUGCCAUUUGAGGUUUGCAGGACAAGUAUAGGGUUAUGGCUUUGUGGGGUUUUUAUUUGGUUUUAAGGUGAGCUAAAAUGAUACUGUAAUGAAUGAAAAUUGGUGAAGAAGAAGAAUGUGAGGUUUUAGUUAUAUGCUAUAAUAUAUGUUUUAUCUGCAAGUAAUUUCAACUGUUUGUGAAAUUUUUGCUUU
rnacentral:misc_RNA from 1 species